UCAGGAGAGCCCCAGGGAUGGACAGACGGUGUGUCUGCAGGACUGGUGUUUAGUCAAGGGGUGGUACUUGGCUCGGCUGGCAGAGCUAUCUACCCCAGGAGACCAGGAGCAGGUGGUGGAGGUUGUUCGCAUGCUGACGGUGGACAAAGGCAUUGCGACAUCGCUCAGGAAGCCUUUGAGGAAAGAGGAACCCCAAGGCACCAAGAAACACAACCCCCCUCCCUCCCAUCUGAGCAGCUUCUCCUUUCUCAUGGGAAGUGCUGGGACCAGGGGAGGCUGCCUGAGCUGAACCUCCUGCCGUGUGGAUUUGCUGCUAGCUGUGGGCUCUGCACAAACCCAUGCUCCAGCUGGCAUGGGAAUUUGGAAUGUAUUUUCUUGAUGCUCAUGUGGAAAUUGGUUAUGCCCAUUUUUUAAAAUGCCACUUUUCUUUUCAAAACCCACAUUCUCCACGUGUUUGGGUUGCAGAGCUGAACCUCAGCCUCCUGAGCACACUGGACACCUGCCUUCCAGAGGAAGCAACACAUGGCUUCUUCAGCAAGAUUUUGGGGAGUUCAACCUGUCCCAUCCUGUCCACAAAGAGAAGUCUCUCUGGAAACGCCUGCUCAGACCUUCCUCCCUUCUGGACAAAGAUGAGAUAGCAUUAGAGACUGAAGAGCUGGAACAAGCAGAUCGUCAUGGAAAGAAGUUUGCUGUUGCUGCUGUUGGCCUCCAUCUUAAGGACAUCUUUGCCAGAGGGGCUGUAUUGAUCAAGCAGGAACAGAAGCUUUUGAAGACCAUUCAGGAAAGGAUCAUCUUAAAGUGACCUUUGUCCCUUCAAAAGCCUGAGGGAACUUGGCUUCAUCUUCCCCAUGUGCAUCAUCCUGUUGGGCCUUCCAGUUGGUUCACAGGUAACUGCACAGCUUGGCUGGGAGAUGGGAUAUGGGAGGGCUGGUUUCUGCUGUGCCGUGGUCCUAGCUUCACGCAGGACUGCUGGGGGAUGAGGGCUGUGAGUAGGUUUUGAUUCCUGAGGUCUGAGUCACUCUCCUUGAGCCGAGAAAGCAAACCCUUAAAGCCAUGCUCUGGGCUAACACCAAAUUCAAAGCACACCAACCUGUCCCCAGGUGGGCACUGUCUUUCUAGCCACUGGUGCUCAGGGGUGUCCAUACCUUCCUCCCUGCCUUUCAUAGCCCCUAUCCCCCCAAACAUUUUACUUUUAUGCCAGUGAGUACAAAGGGGAGACUCCUCCUAUGAGCCCCCAUGCACAGCGCAUGGGGUAGGCUCUCCUCCGGCGUCCUGGCUGUGCUGGGCACCAGGGAGCAUCCCUGAUGAGAGCAGACAGCUCCUCAGUCCUCUGGGUACAGUAGCUGCUUGUUGCUCGCGGAGAAUGAAAACAUAUUAAAGUAAGAAACUGCUGCACCAGUCAUUUUCCAAUUCCCCACUCAGAGAACUGGCUUCCCUGGAAAAUAGGUCACUUACAUAAAAAGCACCUUAUUAUCACACCAGAGUGGUGAAGGAAAGGGAUGGCUCGAGAGACACUUUCAUUUCGAGCCCCUGUUCCUGGGUACUUAGAUAUUUCUGGAAAAUUGACCCUUUGGGCUGAAAUUUCUCAUGCUCGUAUUCAGCCCAUAAGGUAAAUUUCAGGACCUCGUUUCCUCCACUGAGAUAGAUGAGGCUAGGAAAGAAAUUGUGUUGUAUCUUAACCCUUGGGAAGGUGGUGUGUGCACACCCAUGGUUUCCAUGGGGAUUGGGGUAAGCCAUAUCCCUGGGUGAAGACUCCCAUAGACAAGCAGCCUUGUGUCUCCCACCCUCCGUCCCUCCCCAGAAAUACGUUUGUUUUUCUCCUCUAA
rnacentral:lncRNA from 1 species